rnacentral:tRNA from 1 species
GGGAAUGUAGCUUAGUGGUAGAGCGCUUGUCUAGCAUGUAUGAGACACUGGGUUUGAUUCCUCAGUACCA